GAAACCUUGAUGGGAUCGCUAAGCAGCAGCUUGCUCCCUUCGCUGGGCUGCAUGGGGAGCUGCAGGCGCUCCGGCAAGCUGCAGGGGAACCCUGCUCUCUGAGCCAGCUCUGGCUGGGGGAGCUCGCCUGAGCCCAGCUGCGAGCUGUUACUAGGUUUGAGAGUAGGUUGGGUUUUUUUUGAAUUAGUGCUUCCAAACAGGCCCAGGACCCAGGAGAGAGAAGCCACCUGUAUAAGACAGUUGAGGCAAUCUUUGUCAGUUGUUCAGCUCUUCUUAUUUCAGCUGGAUGGUUUUACGAUGGAAGUUGGACUUUACAUUCCAGUGAAGCAAUGAUAUUGGCCCUGUGUUUUGCACUUUGCUUCGUCGUAUGAAUCACUGAAGUGCUCGUAAAAAAAAAAAAAAGAACAACAACAAACAUGUUUCUGGGCCUCACCCUAGACUGAUUGAAUGUUAUUUGCUGGUAUAUUUUAUCCAACCCCCAGAGGUCUCUUAUGGUCAAGCAAGAGAGAACCAAGGCAGCAUGGUUAAAAUUGUAUAACUUUUCUGUAUACAUAUUGAUGUCAAUGGGAUAAGGUUCUCUUACUAGUUUAAAGAGAUAAGAGUCUAGAUGGGUAUUUUAUAUACUAUAUGUGUAUUUGUUUUAAAUUAAGACUUGGUGGUCAUUUCUAAUUAACAUUUGGAAAUUAAUUUCCUUCUUAUGGCUUUUGCUCUGUCCUUUCACCCACCCUCAAAAUAAUGCAUACUCAUUGUAGAAAAUUUGGAAAAUACAGAAGCAUGUAAAAGAGCAGAAAAGGGAAGGUAAAAUGUACAUUUGAAAUCUGUCAUAUGCAGGUGUGCAAACACCAAAUUUUUCCUCAAAGGAUUGGAAUGAUAUAGAGGCCUCUUAACUUUAUUACAGAGGAAAACUGACAAUUUUACUAAUUUCCUCACCCUGAUGGGUUGUAAGUAUGUAUUAACUUGCAAUUAAAUAAUUUCUGCUUCCAAGAGACCAAACCUGAUUUUUUCUGUCAAUUAUGGACUCCAAAAAAUCCAUCAGAAGACACCGUUGCUAAAGGAAAGCUAAGUGCAGUAAGCUGACUGUGGUAAGAGAGGACAGUGUCAGGACAUGGCCCUGUUGGCAUCUAAGCAAGAAGAGGUCGGGAGGCGUAUCUGUAAGGUGUAGAGGUUUAGGUCCAAGUUCCUUAAGCUGUGUUUUUCAAGGCAGAGAAAUGAUUGGGUUUCAACAAAGUUUGUGACGUAGUAGUUCAGGAUUGGUAGAUACAGCAAGACGAGGGUCUUGAGUCCUGGCGAGUAAACCAUUAUUGAUAAGCUAGCUACUUUCCCAGAUGAACAAACUGUUUGCCAGGACAGAUUGUUUUGUAGGAAUUUCCUGCAGCAAACAGCCAAGUUAUUUAUUAGUUUAUAACCUAACUUUUGGGGCAAGAAUAUACUGGCAAAAAUGGUUAUGUUGACACAGAUGGUCUCGAUUCUCAGUACUAAUAGUUAAGCUAUGUGGACAUAGCAGUCUCAAUUCUCAAUCGGUUUACUCAGUUUGAAUCAAACCUGUCUAACUUCCACCUCGCAGAUGAGGGGCUCCUCCAGUCUCCUGUAGACCAGGUGCUAGACCCACUAGGCUACUGACUCAUCUCCAGCUCCUGGAUUCUGUCUUAGGCUGAGAUAUUUAUUUCAUUCUGGCAAAAGGAAUGAACCCAACCCCCUCCUUAACCCAAGGCACUGCCUCCAUCAGCCUAAAUACUGGCUAGUUCAUAAUUACCACCUUAUGCUCAGGAAGUAUAGUGGGAUUGAAUCUUACAUAGCAGUUAGAAAUUAAAGUCAAGGCAAAAGGAGAAAAUUGAGUACAGUUAAAAUUGCCUUUGGAAUUUCUUUAGGAAGGGGCCUUGUUGGACUAAGUUUUUCCUUCAGUCCUGUGAAAAAAAAUAUUUAUUUACUUUUUAAUUUUCAGUUGAAUAGUAGGUUAAAUGUAGUUGCCUUGUAUUUCUGGGCUAUGUCUUAUGAAAGAAUCAAUCAGGCAAGUGGUGAGAGCCCUUGCUAAGAGCAAGUUCUAGGUGUCCAUCUUUCCUGGUUCAAAUGCCCUUGAGGAAAAUGUGGGCAAAGUGGCCUGCGCUAUUUAACUCGGUGUUAUCUGUUUUGUUUUUGUUUUGCAGACCUUAAAUUUCAGUUAUUCCAUGUAAAUGAUAGAGUUACCUAAUACAGUUGACCCUUGAAUAACAUGGAUUUUUUUCAAUAAAUAAAAUUGACUCUUUGUAUCUGAGAGUUUUCCAACUGCAGUUUUCCAGCCAUGGAUCAAAAAUACUGUUUUCCAUCUGAGGUUGGUUUACUCUGUAGAUGAAAAGGCCGACUGUAGAGUCAAAGCUUUAUGAAUAAUUUUGAUUGUCUGGAGGUCAGUGCAAUUCAAGGGUCAACUGUACUUCUUUCCUCUUCUUUAUAGAUAUUAUUCUUUACUGUGGCAAUCCAUGAUUAGUUAUUAUGGAAUAAUAUUAUUAUUAAUCAUAAUUUAAAUAAAUAAAUAUUAUUGUUAAUUAUUCCAUAAUUUAGACAUGUAGUUAUCUGUAAGGAUGAAGUAAACUGCCCAUUGGACAUUUAAUACCGACUCUAUAGAGGUUCGUUUUAAAAAAGGCUUGAGUUCAGUUGUUGAGAUGGCUUGUCACUCAGUGCUUUCUGGGACCUGCUGUGGGCCUUCUUUUACUCCUCACGAUUGCAUUGUGAUGCACCUAUGCAUUUAAAUAUUGAGCACCUGUGACCAUCCAGGCUCUGUGCUAAGAAGAGAAAAAUUAGAAGCCAUCCCUGACCUCAUGGAGUUUUCGGUCUGGUUGCAAAGAAAGAUAUUAAUCAAAUAAUCACAACAUUUAACCUACGCUAAUAAAUCAUAAGAGAAAACAUGUUUCCCGUGAGAAGUAAAAGGGGCUUUGAGAACAUAUGAUGUAACGUGGGGUUCCAGAGAAAUCUCUCCUGAGGAAGUGGUCUUUGAUUUGCGAGCUAAGAUUGACUCCAUGUUACCUUGGGAGUUGGGUAGAGUUAGAUUUCAAAUGACUCUUCUGCUACUGCAUUGCCAUUUCUCCACAUAUACCAGCAGUGCCUUAUAACCAGAUUGGACAGUUUCAUAAAGCAUGAGAAUUCUUGGUUAUUCUUGGCUCACAGCUAAAUUCCACAUGCUUAUUAUUAUACCUUUCUUGGUUAUUAGGACUCAUGUGAUUUUGUGUAAAGUGUAGAUAAUUGAAAAGCAAUUGUUGGACCUCUUUUUCAUCAUUAUCUUCUCCUAUCCAGUUUGUAUAUUUAAACCAGAGUUGCUAACCACUAGUAGCAAGCCUUGAUUUGUGGCUUCCCAUCUGACCUGGCUGAUGGAAAUGACUCAGAUAAGUCACAGGACAUGAGGAUCGUGGAUAAUGCACAGAUCGUCUGAGCAUUGGGGUAAUUGAGAAUUCGCCAUGGUUAGAGGAAUCAUAUCCUGGAAAGCUGGCCACAGAAAUCCUGUGCUGGGUAAACAUUUUCCACAGUCAUUUUUAGCACCAUUGUUAAUUUUCCUCAACCACCUGUGAGAAAUAGUAUCUUCCUGCUCUAUAAAUUCUCUGUGAAAACAAACGGGGAGGCUGGUGAUAACCUGGACAAGUCAGCCAAAGUUAUCUGCCCCUAAGUAACAGAAGUGGACACCUAUUGCUAUCAGAUUUCAAGGGUGUGUUAUAUGAAAGAGAUUGUGUAAGGAAAACAUUGUCUAGGCAGGUUAUGUUAUAGAUUGUCCUGCACUGGGGCACAGAAGCUCAAAGUCAUCUCUGAUGUCUUUUCUUGAAUUCCAGAGCUUCCCCUAAAUCACCCCACCCCCACCCCAUCCAGGCGCCCAGUGCUGGCAAAUCCCCCUCAAGUCUCCAAAAUCUACACUCUACUUUCUUUUUUUUGGUCCACCUCCCUACUUAGCUUCUCAUUCUUCAUUUGUAGGCACAAUGUAUGAUGCUUAUAAUUCAUCUGUACCACUUCCGUAUUGUUUAUUUUCUCCCAGAACAUUCCACCCACCUAAUGUUACCUGCUUGCAUGGUGGGCCCAGGACCAGGUCUGCACUCUUUCAUUUGACAUUCAAGAACUUUCGGGCUGUGUUUCCACCUUUCCCCGAACGUAUCCUCUGUCAGCCCUGCCAUUGUGCCAUCAUGGAUCUGCACCUGUGGCCCAAACCUGCCGACGCCUGGACGCCAGACUUUGCCCAUCCUUCCUCUUCUCCCUCACUUUUCACCUCGUCCAUCAGGUUCCCAACUACCCUUUCAUGUUAGCAUACAUCCACUUUAUCUACUGACAAGGGAGCACCCAUGGGCUAGCUGGUAUCUACCUUUACUUUUAUCUGAAGAUGAAAUUGUGGUAGAAUUAUUGUGUAUGAAGGCCUAGCUGUGGCCCCAGCAUAGUGCCAGGAAGUAAACUUUAACACAUAACCUGGGCUCUGCCAUGAGAGAUUUGUUUUGUCCUUGUGACAUCCCUGACCCUGAGAGGCAUCCUCUUAUAGCAGAGAACAAUGUCAGAAAGGACUAGGGUGAAUCAUCCACUCAACAAUUCUAAUUUCUCUCAGGAAUGCUGGGGUGAGCCUGCCUUUGCCAGCCUGCAAGUGGUAUAGUUCCACUUUCUGAGUUCCUGCUUCCUGCCUCCUUUUGCUUCAAGGACCGGGGAACAAAUAUUUGGUUUUAACUAACCAGGAAGAAAAUGUGUUUUGACUAGAGGGACCCUGCUGUCCUGUGGGGAGAUGCCCUGAGCCUGGGCUCAUAGACUAGCUGGGGUGUUCCAGCGCCCAGCUCUGCGGUGGAGGCUCAGUUUGAGAAAUCCUCUUCUGGUCUUUUUGUGUGGUUUGAAUAACAUGUGCAUCAUGUCUCUCUUUAGAAACAGAAAGCCUGUGAUCAUGGUCCAGAGAAGACAUAGGAGAGCUCUCUGGCACCAUAAAGAAUAGAGGUGUGACUCACUUUGAAGAAAACUUAUCGCUAAAAUCUGACUCUACAAAAUAGAUAAACCAGUGAGAUCUCCCAGGAAACUCCAUCUGGAGAGAUCAUCCGGACAGUGGCUCUCUGGAAGAGAGGUUCGCUUUUUUUGGAUACACAUGCAUAUCUCUCACCAUCUGGUCCAAACGCCUCCAGGACACAGAUCAGCCUCCAACCCCCUGCCCCACCCUGGGCAUGACUUUCUAGGAAUGCCAUGAACUUAUUGGACAGUAAUUCCUGUUCAUGCUUCCAAAAAGCAACGGAUUUCAUGGUUUUAUAGGGGAAUUCUUCCAGCACAUUUUGGCCAUCCAUUUCUGAUGUUACAUGUUGCCUGUUGGGUCUCAACACAUUCUCGCUUGCUUCGAGGAACUUUGUUUUUUAAAGUCAGGGGUGAAAUAGGUUCCUCUGGCUCCCCUCAACUACAUAUUUCUCCGGGAUUACUUGAAACUCUGAGUUUUCAUAAUUGGGAGGAUGCCCAGGAGGGAGAUGCAAGGUUUGAAGGACUAUCGUGUCAAAUGUGUAAUUUUAAAGUUAAAACAUGACUCUCAUACAAAUUAGAAUGAAUUUCUGUCAAAGCUCUAUUCAACCAGGAAACUGAUGGAAAGCUGGUUCAAAGUACAUUUUCACAAAUAUAUUUGUAGUCGACUUGGAAAGACAUUCUGUAUUAAGUUUGCUAUGUUAAAAAAAAAAAAAACUGGUUAAAGUCCUGCAAGGCAAUAAAAUUGUAGCCUUUGGGGUAGUAUUUUUUUCUGAGCAUAAAUCAGCAGGCUGACAUGUAACCUCACAGGUCCUGAGCCCUUAAUAGCACAUAGCAAAGUCAAACACAGAGAAUUAAGCAUCUUUGGGUGGGUGGUGUUGGCAUCGCCCAGAGCCUGUUAGCAAGGUAGCCUCCACCAGUGUUUCUCAAAGUGUGGUGUCAGCUUCCAGCAUCGGCUUCACCUAGAAAUUCUUAGACAUGCAAAUUCUCAGAUUUCAACCCAGACCAAGUGAACCAGACACUCCAAAGGUGGGGCCCAGGAGUCUGUGUUUUAAUAAGCCCACCAGGGGAUUCACAUUUGAGAAUUACUGCUCUGCACUCUAUAUUUGAAUGAACAAAUGGGAUGAUACAAAAAGCAUAGAAAUGUCUGCAUUCUAGACCUGGCUUCAUGUCCCUGUCUGGAAAAUGGAGUGAUAUUGCCUUCCCAGCUGGGUUGUGAACACCAGUUAGUUCAGACAGUACUUAUAUGAUUUCAGUCACUCUCUCUAAGCCUUGGUGUUAUUGCCACUGUCUGAUAAGAUGUCCUAUUUUUUUUUCUGUCUGCUUUCCCAUUACACCCCCACAUUUUAUUUGCUCACUCAAAAGUGGCUACACACAGACGCACCUAUGGAGAUGUUCAAAGGCAGGGUGACUCAGUUGUAACAGACCAAAGCAAAGUCACCCCUGGAGGUACAACUAGCUGGUAUACUACAAGGCACAGGCAGCCCCUGAAACAAAUUACCUGGCCCCAAAUUCCACUGUGCUGAGGCUGAGAAUUCCUGGUCUGCAAUGGAAAUUAGGAAAUGACUCAUUUCUGAGGUCUCUCUAACUAUCUCUGGUGCAGCCCUUCCAGAAAUAGAACUGAAAGCAAGAAAAAUGCGUGUAUGUACUUAGCACCUACUGUCCUGAAUGUAUAUCACCUGAGACGAGCUUGAAACCUGGCCUUUGAUAGUAGGUGUUCAAUAAAUGUGACGAAUGAAUGAAGAAAUGU